rnacentral:rRNA from 1 species
GCGAUCGCGGGGCGAGUAGCUGGGGUAAUACGCAGGUAGCGAGCGUUGUUCGGAAGGGCUGGGCGUAAAGCGCACGUGAGCGGCUGAUGAGGUGAGGGGGGAAAGCCAGGGGGUUAACCUAGGGUCUGCCGUGGAUACUGGGAGGCAAGAGUGUGAGAGAGGUGAGAGGAAUUCCGGGUGUAGCGGUGAAAUGCGUAGAUAUUCGGAGGAACACCGGUGGCGAAGGCGGAUCACUGGGCCGUUACUGACGCUGAGGUGCGAAAGCGUGGGGAGCAAACAGGAUUAGAUACCCGGGUAGUC